rnacentral:rRNA from 1 species
UGGGGAAUUUUGGACAAUGGGGGAAACCCUGAUCCAGCCAUCCCGCGUGUGCGAUGAAGGCCUUCGGGUUGUAAAGCACUUUUGGCAGGAAAGAAACGUCAUGGGUUAAUACCCCGUGAAACUGACGGUACCUGCAGAAUAAGCACCGGCUAACUACGUGCCAGCAGCCGCGGUAAUACGUAGGGUGCAAGCGUUAAUCGGAAUUACUGGGCGUAAAGCGUGCGCAGGCGGUUCGGAAAGAAAGAUGUGAAAUCCCAGAGCUCAACUUUGGAACUGCAAUUUGAACUAACGGGCUAGAGUGUGGCAGAGGGAGGUGAAAUUCCGCGUGUAGCAGAGAAAUGCGGAGAUAUGCGGAGGAACACAGAGGGCGAAGGCAGCCUCAGGGGAUAACACAGACGCUCAUGGACGAAAGCGUGGGGAGCAAACAGG